UCAACUCAAAUUUGUAUGGAGUCGAAACAUGCUCCCUACCUUUGCCGCUAGGGGCGCUGUUCCAACUCCAUACAAAUUUGAGUUA
rfam:Bombyx mori DNA, contig: Bm_scaf536_contig43656, strain: p50T/Dazao, build 2, whole genome shotgun sequence.